UUUCUAACCCUUAUUCUCACACCCUCUCUCCCUAUUCUCACAAACACAAAAAUUAUCUUCUCCUCCUUCUCUCAAAGAUCGAACUUCACUUUCUCCCAUGAAUACCAUAACAACUUCAUAGCUUGUUGAAGAACAUCAAGAACACUUUCAAAAAGAAACUCAAGAACUUACAUCUUCCUCUCACGGUAGAACCGAGACGCACCUCUUUCCUCCACAAACCGCCAUCGAAGCCCUCAGGUGGUGUUGUUUUUUUUUUUUUGUUAGUUUUUUUUAUUGGUUCAAUUGAUGACCAAUGAUUUUAUAUGAGGCCUCCCUUUACAAAAAGUUUUUCUCAAUUUUAAAUAUUUCAAAAGGUUUUGGCCAAUGAUGAUAUCUGAGGCUUGUUUUUUUUUAAUCAUUGUUUUGGUCAUUGUUGCUACAUUUUAGUUUAAAUUUAUGUUUUUACGAUCAUAAUCUUUUUUUAAACCCUUGGAAAUUUUUGCCCUUUUAGCCAUGAUCUAACUUUCUGAACCUUUCUUUAUUUCAUGGGAAAAUUUAGAUUAUUUGAGGCCAAACCCUUUUUAUAAUAUUUUUUAUUUUGUUAUUUUAACUAUUAUCAUUACUAACUUUUUUUUUAUUAUUAUAAUAAUAAUAAUUAUUAUUAUUACUCAUUUUUGUUAAUUACUUUUAUUAUUAUUAUUAUUAUUAUUAUUAUUAUUAUUAUUAUUACUAUUAUUAUUCUUAUUUUUUUGCAGGUACCUCCAUGAAGCAUACACACCAAAUCAGAGCUAAGUUAUUUUUCAAAUUUCUUUUUUUUUAUUUUUUAUUACAUAAACUCCUUUCCUUUUUUCUUCUUUUUUAAUAUAAUUUCUUUUUAUUUUGUUUAAAACAAAUUAUUUUUAUUAGCCAUCUAUAUUAUUUAAUCGAAAACUCUUUUUUUCGUAAUAUCAAUUUUUUUUCAAUAAUAAUUUAAUUAAGGUUUUUAGUUAAUAAUUAUUUUUGGGGCUAAUUAAAUGUUUUUAUGUCUUAAAACCCUGAUUUCUUCAUGAUCAUUAAUCACUGUUAGGUAGAUGUUGUCCAUUAACUUAGUAUCUUUGUAAUGGUUGGGGAUUGUAAUGCACUAACAUUUUUCUUCUUUGUGCCCAAUUCUUUCAGGGUUAGCAACAGGAUUUUACCUCCGACUACCAACCACACACAAUUCCAGCUAAGUAUUUUUUUUAAUAAUAAUUUUUAUUAUUUUUAUGCAUCAACAAUUUUGAUUAUUUUCUUUUCCUUUCUUUUUUUUAUUAUAACUUUUUUAUUUAUAUUUUUAUAAAAUAAUUUCUAUAGUAAAUUUUAAUCAUUAAUAUUUAACCGAAAAUCCGAUUUUUCACAAAUAAUUGUUUUCUCUAUAUAUAUAUAUAUAUUAAAAUUCGAAUAUACUUUUAAUUAAUUGAUAAAUUAGGAUUAACCUUUAUGUUUAUUUUAACCCUUGUCCUAUUUAAUUGAUUUCUUAGCCUUUUCAUUAACCUUUCAAGGUUUCCGUAACAUCAUUUAUUUUUUAUUAUUAUUUGUCUUUUGGGUCACAAUAAAUUUUCUUUUAUUUUUUUUAAUCCAUUAAGGGUUGUAGAUCCUUCAUACACUAAAAUUAUUUUCUUUUAUGCAAAUUUUCAGGGUUAAUCAGUAUCCUCCGACUACGCGCCAUGGCAAUUGAAAAGCUAAGUUUUCAAUCCUUGUUUUAUUUUAUUUAAAUAUUAUUUUCUUUUUGCCUUUUGCCCAAAAUAGGGUUUGCUUCGAAUAGUCAAUACACUCACCCCUUAUUUAUUUUCCUCUUAAUUUGCAGAGUCAACCAAGGGUUUGAGGAAGAUCAAGGCAUUCAAUAUACACAAAUUAAUUAUUGCCCUCUAUUAUUUUCUGCUUUUCCCCUUUCCCGCAGGUGAUCCGCAUAUGGAAUGAAUUACGAAAAACUCCCAAAUAUUGUGCUCCUUGAUAUCGCGCGUUCAUCAAUCAUUUCGAGCUGGAUGAUUUUACAUGGAGGCCUUAUCUUGGACUUGAAGAUUUGGAUCCAACUGAAAGUGACAUGUGGAGUUCAAGAACGCUUAUAAUUUGCUUCACUUUUGUUGAAAUGCAUCAUUCAGAUAGGGUUAAACUCCAAUUUGGCAUUCAAUAAGACAUACCGGAUCCUCUAAAGUGCAUGGAUGAGUAUCACGGAAAUCAAGUGAACGAUCAAUGACAAUUCAGUAAUUGGAAAGACCAUUACAAACAAGAGCGUCAUCAAUGGAAAAACCACCAUAGUACUGUCUUACAGGGCAAUAUCAUGCUAGGAGAAUGUAAAUCGAGUAGGGAUUACAUGAACUGGUAUGCAUCUGUGACAAAUUUAUAUCUAUCACAAAAUAGAAUCUUAUUUGACUCUCGUAACCAACCCACAUAUUCAAGCUUCCAACACAUCAAACCAUCAACAAGCACUUACACCCAACAACAUAAUUUUAACACCCAACAACAUAACUUUCACACCCAACAACCUUUCAUUAACACCUAACAACAUAACUUUAACACCCAAUAACCUUUCAUUAACAUCCAACAACCUUUCAUUCCAACACAACCACCUUAUACCCAAAGCCAACAAUAUCAUUAACAAAACCCAUAUACAUCAUACACCCAACCGUAAUACAUUCCUACAACCUACCUCAAUCCAACAAAACCCAUCUACAUCAUACAUCCAAACCACAAGACCACAAGACCACAACUACCAAACGCCCCAUCAACAAAUUCCUUUUUAGUCACAACAAUUUACCCGACUUCAUCAUAAGAGCAAUAGUCCCCUUCAUGAUGCCUACCACCACCCAACAAAAUUGGAAUAACGAGGGAACCAUAUUAAGUUAUCGACGACAACUUGCUUUAUCAAUGAAGAAAUAGUCGACGAAUUAUAUGAUCGUGGAUAUGACGUGGGGCCUUCUACCCAGCCAUCAAAUGAUGAUGUGUCUCAUAGAAUGUCUACGCGAAUUGAGCAAGCUUCUUACUGUGUAAUCGGCCAUCUGUUACACCG